UACGUAGGGGGCAAGCGUUGUCCGGAAUCAUUGGGCGUAAAGCGCGUGUAGGCGGUUCAGUAAGUCUGCUGUGAAAGUCCUGGGCUCAACCUGGGAACUGCGCUUGAUACGGCAGAGCUAGAGGAUGGAAGAGGCUCGCGGAAUUCCCAGUGUAGAGGUGAAAUUCGUAGAUAUUGGGAAGAACACCGGUGGCGAAGGCGGCGAGCUGGUCCAUUACUGACGCUGAGGCGCGACAGCGUGGGGGAGCAAACAGGG
rnacentral:rRNA from 1 species